UACGAAGGGUGCUAGCGUUGUUCGGAAUCACUGGCGUAAAGCGCGCGUAGGCGGCGUUGCAAGUCAGAGGUGAAAGCCUGGAGCUCAACUCCAGAAUUGCCUUGAAACUGCAAUGCUAGAGUGUCGGAGGGAUAGCGGAAUUCCUAAUGUAGAGGUGAAAUUCGUAGAUAUUAGGAGGAACACCGGUGGCGAAGGCGGCUAUCUGGACGACGAACGUGACGCUGAGGCGGCGAAAAGCGCGGGGAUCAAACAGG
rnacentral:rRNA from 1 species